GACGAACGCUGGCGGCGUGCUUAACACAUGCAAGUCGAACGGAAAGGCCCCUUUGGGGGUACUCGAUUGGCGAACGGGUGAGUAACACGUGAGUAACCUGCCCUUUACUUCGGGAUAACUUCAUGAAACUGGGGCUAAUACCGGAUAGGAAUCCUUUCUGCAUGGUGGGGGUUGGAAAGCUUCGGCGGGUUUGUAUGGACUCGCGGCUUAUCAGCUUGUUGGUGGGGUAGUUGCUUACCUAGGCGUUGACGGGUAGCCGGCCCGAGAGGGCGAACGGCCACAUUGGGAAUGAGAUACGGCCCAGACUCCUACGGGAGGCAGGAGUGGGGAAUAUUGCACAAAGGGCGGAAGGCUGAUGCAGCAACGCCGCGGGCGGGAUGAAGGCCUUCGGGUUGUAAACCGCUUUCAGCAGGGGAGAAGCUUGUGGUGACGGUACCUGCAGAAGAAGCACCGGCUAACUACGUG
rnacentral:rRNA from 1 species